rnacentral:tRNA from 1 species
GAAUUUAGUUUAACAGACAAACAUUUGCUUGCAAGCAAAACUUGAUGGUUUAAAUCCUUCAAUCCACA